ACCCGGACAUUUAUAGAGAUAGAUCUUUUUUUGGAGUGGGUGACAGGUGGUACAUGGGUGUUCUCAGUUUGUCUUGUGAGAUUUUGGGAUAAGUCCCAAUAAGAGCAAAACCUUUGCUCCAUGUUGCCAACACGUUUUUUUGGGGGGGGGGGGGACUCAGGGGAGAGCGCCGGGGUAAACUCGGAAGAGGGUGGGGAUGACGUCAAGUCAUCAUCCCCUUUAUGUUUUGGGGUGCAAACAUGAUACAAUGGCCUGUACAGAGGGUUGAGAUACUGUGAGGUGGAGAGUAUCCAUAAAAGCCGGUCUCAUUUGGGAUGGGUGUGCGAAACUAGACCCCAAGAAGUGGGUGUCGAUUGUAAUCGCAGAUCCUCUAUGAUGCGGUGAAUAUUUUCCCGCGCCUUAUAUACUAGCCCUUCCGGCUUUUUUUCUUCUGAAAU
rnacentral:rRNA from 1 species